rnacentral:tRNA from 1 species
GCCUUCUUGGUGUAGUGGUCAGCACGCUCGAUGCGUAACCGAGAGGUCCGGGGUUCGAUUCCCGGCGAAGGCA